rnacentral:rRNA from 1 species
GACGAACGCUGGCGGCGUGCUUAACACAUGCAAGUCGAGCGGUAAGGCCCUUUCGGGGGUACACGAGCGGCGAACGGGUGAGUAACACGUGGGUGACCUGCCCUCAGCUCUGGGAUAAGCCUGGGAAACUGGGUCUAAUACUGGAUAUGACUCCACGGUGCAUGUCGUGGGGUGGAAAGCCUUGUGCGGCUGAGGAUGGGCCCGCGGCCUA